rnacentral:misc_RNA from 1 species
GAUGAAGAACGUAGCGAAAUGCGAUAAGUAAUGUGAAUUGCAGAAUUCAGUGAAUCAUCGAAUCUUUGAACGCACAUUGCGCCCCCUGGUAUUCCGGGGGGCAUGCCUGUUCGAGCGUCAUUUCACCACUCAAGCCUCGCUUGGUAUUGGGCAAUGCGGUCCGCCGCCUGCCUCAAAUCGACCGGCUGGGUCUUCUGUCCCCUAAGCGUUGUGGAAACUAUUCGCUAAAGGGUGUUCGGGAGGCUACGCCGUAAAACAACCCCAUUUCUAAGGUUGACCUCGGAUCAGGUAGGGAUACCCGCUGAACUUAAGCAUAUAAAUAAGCGGAGGA